rnacentral:rRNA from 1 species
CAAUAGCGUAUAUUAAAGUUGUUGCGGUUAAAAAGCUCGUAGUUGGAUUUCGGCGGACAGGGGGCGGUUCGAUAUUUGUCGCUACUGCCCCAUUUGUCCGUGUUUUUGGCGGAGGUUUCAGGGUGCUCUUCACCGAGUGUCCAGGGAUGCCGUCAGGUUUACUUUGAAAAAAUUAGAGUGCUCAAAGCAGGCUUUACACGCUUGAAUAUUCGUGCAUGGAAUAAUGGAAUAGGACGUCGUUUCUAUUUUGUUGGUUUUCGGAAAUCGACGUAAUGAUUAACAGGGACAGUCGGGGGCAUUAGUAUUCAGACGACAGAGGUGAAAUUCUUGGACCGUCUGAAGACUAACUACUGCGAAAGCAUUUGCCAAGAAUGUUUUCAUUAA